rnacentral:rRNA from 1 species
ACUUAGUGAUCCGGUGGUUCUGCGGGGAAGGGCACUCGCGCAACGGAUAAAAGCUACCCUGGGGAUAACAGGCUUAUCUCCCCCAAGAGUCCACAUCGACGGGGAGGUUUGGCACCUCGAUGUCGGCUCAUCACAUCCUGGGGCUGUAGUAGGUCCCAAGGGUUGGGCUGUUCGCCCAUUAAAGUGGUACGCGAGCUGGGUUCAGAACGUCGUGAGACAGUUCGGUCCCUAUCCGUCGCAGGCGUAGGAAAUUUGAGAAGACCUGUCCGUAGUACGAGAGGACCGGGAUGGACGUACCUCUGGUGUACCAGUUGUCCUGCCAAGGGCAUGGCUGGGUAGCUAUGUACGGAAUGGAUAAGCGCUGAAAGCAUCUAAGCGCGAAGCCAACUUCAAGAUAAGA